UACGAAGGGGGCUAGCGUUGUUCGGAAUUACUGGGCGUAAAGCGCACGUAGGCGGAUAUUUAAGUCGGGGGUGAAAUCCCGGGGCUCAACCCCGGAACUGCCUUCGAUACUGGGUAUCUUGAGUUCGGGAGAGGUGAGUGGAACUGCGAGUGUAGAGGUGAAAUUCGUAGAUAUUCGCAAGAACACCAGUGGCGAAGGCGGCUCACUGGCCCGAUACUGACGCUGAGGCACGAAAGCGUGGGGAUCAAACAGG
rnacentral:rRNA from 1 species